UGGGGUCGAGUUGCAGACCCCAAUCCGAACUGAGACCGGCUUUUUGGGAUUCGCUCCACCUUACGGUAUCGCAGCCCUCUGUACCGGCCAUUGUAGCAUGCGUGAAGCCCAAGACAUAGGGGGCAUGAUGAUUUGACGUCAUCCCCACCUUCCUCCGAGUUGACCCCGGCAGUCUCCCAUGAGUCCCCGGCAUAACCCGCUGGCAACAUAGGACGAGGGUUGCGCUCGUUGCGGGACUUAACCCAACAUCUCACGACACGAGCUGACGACAACCAUGCACCACCUGUGUACGAGUGUCCAAAGAGAACCCCGUCUCGGGGGCUUUCUCGUACAUGUCAAGCCUUGGUAAGGUUCUUCGCGUUGCAUCGAAUUAAUCCGCAUGCUCCGCCGCUUGUGCGGGCCCCCGUCAAUUCCUUUGAGUUUUAGCCUUGCGGCCGUACUCCCCAGGCGGGGCACUUAAUGCGUUAGCUGCGGCACGGAACUCGUGGAAUGAGCCCCACACCUAGUGCCCAACGUUUACGGCAUGGACUACCAGGAUAUCUAAUCCUGUUCGCUCCCCAUGCUUUCGCUCCUCAGCGUCAGUUGCGGCCCAGAGACCUGCCUUCGCCAUCGGUGUUCCUCCUGAUAUCUGCGCAUUCCACCGCUACACCAGGAAUUCCAGUCUCCCCUACCGCACUCUAGUCUGCCCGUACCCGAUGCAAGCCCGAGGUUGAGCCUCGGGAUUUCACACCAGACGCGACAGACCGCCUACGAGCUCUUUACGCCCAAUAAUUCCGGACAACGCUUGCGCCCUACGUAUUACCGCGGCUGCUGGCACGUAGUUAGCCGGCGCUUCUUCUGCAGGUACCGUCACUUGCGCUUCUUCCCUGCUGAAAGAGGUUUACAACCCGAAGGCCGUCAUCCCUCACGCGGCGUCGCUGCAUCAGGCUUGUGCCCAUUGUGCAAUAUUCCCCACUGCUGCCUCCCGUAGGAGUCUGGGCCGUGUCUCAGUCCCAGUGUGGCCGGUCGCCCUCUCAGGCCGGCUACCCGUCGACGCCUUGGUAGGCCAUCACCCCACCAACAAGCUGAUAGGCCGCGAGCCCAUCCCCCACCGAAAAACUUUCCAACCCACACCAUGCGAUGCGAGCUCAUAUCCGGUAUUAGACCCCGUUUCCAAGGCUUAUCCCGAAGUGGAGGGCAGGUUGCUCACGUGUUACUCACCCGUUCGCCACUGAUCCACCCAGCAAGCUGGGCUUCAC
rnacentral:rRNA from 1 species